rnacentral:rRNA from 1 species
AGAGUUUGAUCAUGGCUCAGGAUGAACGCUGGCGGUGUGGAUAAGGCAUGCAAGUUGAACGGGAUUAAUCACACGGAAGCAUUGAGCAAGUUUGAGUAGCAAUACGAUGGCAAGCAAGAUGUGGAAGAGUGACAAUCUAGUAGCAAACGAGGUAGUAAUAUUUAGGAACGUCCCCCAGAGUCGCGAAUAGCCCACCGAAAGGUGGAGUAAUACGCGAUGGUCUCGCAAGAGUAAAGAUUUAUCGCUCUGGGAACGGCCUGAACGGUAUCAGCUAGUUGGUAAGGUAAAAGCUUACCAAGGCUAUGACGCCUAGGAGAGCUGAGAGGCUGACCUCCACCGAUGGGACUGAGACACGGCCCAUACACCUACGGGUGGCUGCAGUCGAGAAUCUUCCGCAAUGGGCGAAAGCCUGACGGAGCGACACCGCGUGAUGGAUGAAGUGCUUCGGUAUGUAAACAUCUUUUAUAGGGGAAGAAGUAUAUUGACGGUACCCUAUGAAUAAGGACCUGCCAAACUCGUGCCAGCAGCAGCGGUAAUACGAGUGGUCCAAGCGUUAUCCGGAAUUAUUGGGCGUAAAGCGUGCGUAGGUGGAAUUAUUAGUCGGGUGUUUAACCCACGGGCUCAACCUGUGGAUUGCAUUCGAAACGGUAAUUCUCGAGGAAGUGAGAGGUUUGCGGAACUCAUAGUGUAGGGGUGAAAUCCGUUGAUAUUAUGGGGAACACCAAAAGCGAAGGCAGCAAACUAACACUCUCCUGACACUGAGGCACGAAAGCGUGGGUAGCGAAUGGGAUUAGAUACCCCAGUAGUCCACGCCCUAAACGUUGCAGACUCGCUAUUUGAAGUAUCGACCCUUCAAGUGGCUAAGCUAACGCGGUAAGUCUGCCGCCUGGGAAGUACGAUCGCAAGAUUAAAACUCAAAGGAAUUGACGG